CGAUUUUCCUCCUAACAAUUCACUUUGACCCUUUUGAUAAACCAGAUUUCAUUCCCCCCAAAAACAUUUCCCCUAAAUCACAAAGCAAGAGGAAAUAUGCUCGUUUCUUCAUCGCCGACAUCUGGACAACUAACCGGCACCAUCGGACGUAAUGCGAAGAUGGCAGCCCACCGACACCCGACGUCGAAAUAGCAUUUGAAGAUGGCAGUUGAAUCGUAGAUGCUGGGCAAAGGUAUUUUGUUAUUUACUGAUUUAUGCAUUCUUUUAAUUUACGGUUUAGGCUGUGUUAGACUUGUUUACAUGAUUUGGGUGUUAUUUCCUCUUUAUUUAGACAUACAUUUGAAGUAUUUAAUUUCUUGUUCUUCAUAAAUUAGUGAGUUCGUUCUUAAAUUUCUGAGCUUGAUUGUUAAGUUCAUUUUUCAUAGAGAGGGGUAUUUUGUUCUAGGCAAAGUUAUUUUUCAUAAAUUUUCAAGCAAAGGUAUUUUGUUCAUUUGUCAUAAAGAGUGGUAUUUUGUUCAUUUUUCAUAAACAGGGGUGUUUUUCAUAUAGAAUAUGUUUCAGUGUGCCUACUUCUGUUAAGCUACUAGACGAAUUUUGCUCAAGUGUGGCUACUUUUGUUAAGCUACUCUACGCACAUGGGGUGAGUAGUAAGACUCAAUGCAACAAGAGAAUACAUCUAACAAGCAGUAAAAAUGUACUGUAACUAAACAUUCCACCAUUGACCUCCUAUAAAAACACCAAACAAGGAAAGAAAUAAGAGAAGCCUAAAAAGAUUUAGUUUCAGCAAAAUCCAACGUGAUCAAAUCUAAGAAAAUAUAAUAAUAUUGAAUCAUAUUCUAUUUACUCAGUGAUUUUGAUCGAUAUGAUUUUCAAUUGUUGUUUGCAGUUUGUAGCAUGCGAGAGACGACCAUUAAAGUGACCAAGUAGGAAAAGGCCAAUUAGCUACUUUUGAUUGAUAUUUUUUGUUUCGUUGGCAGUUGUUAAGUAGAAUGAGAGGAAACGAAGAGGUGAAGCAUGAGCCCAAUGAGGAAUACGAAGACUUGCUAAGAGUCUUCGACAGCCUAGCUCGAAUUAUCGAGAAACGAGAUGUUGACAUAACAUUGCACGUUACAUUUGGCAAGGGAAAAUGAAUUGUAGAAAGUGAUGGGAAGGGGAAGGGACCGACGUGAACGGGUAGUAUCAAUUUGUAGUUGUCAUAUGCUUUAUUUGUACCGUAAGAACUUCUUGGUCAUAGUAGUCUUCGAUGUCCAACGCUUAUUUUUGUCAACAUCGUUCGAGCUUUGGACAUUAGUUUAAUAUUUGCAAAUUGUUGUAAUACUUAGUAGGCUUCUUCAAGUUUAAUAUUUUGUGAAUUGUUGUAAUGCUUAGUUAGCAGACUAGCUAUUCAUGGUUUUCGGUCCACAGAGGAAGUUCAUUACAAUGUUUGUAUAGUCCCAUAAGCUGCACCAAAUUCAAUAGAGUAAUU
rnacentral:lncRNA from 1 species